rnacentral:rRNA from 1 species
CGCCUCCUGCCACCACUAAUUAUAGGAGGUCCCGCCUGCCCUGUGACCAAAAGUUUAACGGCCGCGGUAUUUUAACCGUGCAAAGGUAGCGCAAUCAAUUGUCUUUUAAAUGGAGACCUGUAUGAAUGGCAUAACGAGGGUUUAACUGUCUCUUUUUCCCAGUCAAUGAAACUGAUCUGCCCGUGCAGAAGCGGGUAUAUAUACACAAGACGAGAAGACCCUAUGGAGCUUUAGACGCCAACCAACCACGAAAAGCGACCACUGACUGGAUCCUCAAACAACGUGAUUAUGGCACAAGCGUCUUCGGUUGGGGCGACCACGGGAGAUAACAAAGCUCCCGAGUGGAUAGGGGGACACCCUAAAACCCAGAGCCACAGCUCUAAGUCACAAAAUAUUUGACCAAUAAUGAUCCGGCUUUAUGCCGACCAACGGACCAAGUUACCCUAGGGAUAACAGCGCAAUCCCCUCCCAGAGUCCAUAUCGACGAGGGGGUUUACGACCUCGAUGUUGGAUCAGGACAUCCUAAUGGUGCAGCCGCUAUUAAGGGUUCGUUUGUUCAACGAUUAAAGUCCU